CGCCCGGCCACCUGCCCGUGAGGGUUUCCGCGGCACCGCCGCCGCCGGCUGCCAUUCACGCCCACGCCGAGGGAAAGGCCGUAGUCAAGCCGUGGGGCGGGGGCAUCGGCGACGGGGCUGAUGCGACGGACCUCCAUGCGCCCUCCAAACCGAAUGCCCUCUCGUCCACGUCUACAUCUGUCCGUUUAUCUCCUCUGAGUCAGAGUGCCCUCCGUCAGAACUCUUUGUCAGCAUGGCGGCCGGUGGCAGCGGCCAUCUACGAUCUGUUCGUGCGUUGCCCUGAUGGAGGCGGCCGUGCUCCAUAGCAAGGCAGAAAGGGAAACCAACUUCAACUUUGCGAGGAGAAGUUCCGCAUUUGAGAAGCCGGAGAAGAGUAUCUCACUAAGUACAGAUUCGAGCUAGGGAUAUCAUUUUCUCUCCAAUCCAUUUAUCAUGGGAUCAUUUCCCAGAAAAAGACAAACAUGAAGGUAGCUGUGGACAGACUAUAUUUGUUUACUUCUUCUACCCACAAGUUUCAUGUACUGGACAA